GAUGAACGCUAGCGGCAGGCCUAACACAUGCAAGUCGAGGGGCAGCACAGAAACAGCAAUGUUUUGGUGGCGACCGGCGGACGGGUGCGUAACGCGUAUGCAACCUACCUUUAACAGGGGGAUAACGGAGAGAAAUUUCCACUAAUACCCCAUAACAUCGAUCAAGGCAUCUUGAUUGGUUGAAAACUCCGGUGGUUAAAGAUGGGCAUGCGUUGUAUUAGGUAGUUGGUGAGGUAAUGGCUCACCAAGCCUACGAUACAUAGGGGGAAUGAGAGGUUAGCCCCUCACACUGGUACUGGGACACGGACCAGACUCCUACGGGAGGCAGCAGUGAGGAAUAUUGAUCAAUGGGGGCAACGCUGAACCAGCCAUGCCGCGUGCAGGAAGACGGCUCUAUGAGUUGUAAACUGCUUUUAAACAGGGAUACAGCCCAGUAUGUAUACUGUGUUGAAGGUACUGUAAGAAUAAGGAUCGGAUAACUCCGUGCCAGCCGCCGCAGUAA
rnacentral:rRNA from 1 species